CGGAAAUUUGCCCGAACUGGUGGAGAAGGGAAUUGUGGUGACAUUCAAACAAUGGACGCAGAAGUACGGGUCUGUCGUAGGAUUUUACAAUGGAAGAGUACCCAUGGUGUUAAUCAAGGACCUCGACGCUAUUAAACAAAUUCAAAUCGCCAAGUUUAAAGACUGCAGUUCCCGCGGGAUCACAUCUAUGCUCUCUGUUCAUCAUCCUUUCCGAAAGUUACAUAUCUUCAACGCUUCGGGUCAGAAAUGGCGGACCAUCCGUGGAGUGUGCACCAGAUCA